UACAGAGGGUGCAAGCGUUGUUCGGAAUUAUUGGGCGUAAAGCGCGUGUAGGCGGCUUUGCAAGUCGGGUGUGAAAGCCCUCAGCUUAACUGAGGAAGUGCGCCCGAAACUGCAGAGCUUGAGUACCGGAGAGGAUGGUGGAAUUCCCCAAGUAGAGGUGAAAUUCGUAGAUAUGGGGAGGAACACCGGUGGCGAAGGCGACCAUCUGGACGGAUACUGACGCUGAGACGCGAAAGCGCGGGUAGCAAACAGG
rnacentral:rRNA from 1 species